rnacentral:rRNA from 1 species
GGAAUAUUGCGCAAUGGGCGAAAGCCUGACGCAGCCAUGCCGCGUGGAUGAUGAAGGCCUUCGGGUCGUAAAGUCCUUUUCUUAGGGAAGAACAAGUUGGAGAGUGGAAAGCUCCGGCCUUGACGGUCCCUAAGGAAUAAGCAACGGCUAACUCCGUUCCAGCAGCCGCGGUAGUACGGAGGUUGCAAGCGUUGUUCGGAUUUACUGGGCGUAAAGGGAGCGCAGGCGGCCAGGUCAGUCUGAAGUGAAAGCCCGGGGCUCAACCUCGGAAUUGCUUUGGAUACUUCCUGGCUUGAGUACGUGAGAGGCGAGUGGAAUUCCAGGUGUAGCGGUGAAAUGCGUAGAUAUCUGGAGGAACAUCUGUGGCGAAAGCGACUCGCUGGCACGAAACUGACGCUGAGGCUCGAAAGCGUGGGGAGCGAA